UCUAGAGAUCCCUGCACUUUAUUUUGAGGCCAUCAACUAAAUGCUAGAUUUGUGCAUAAGCUAUGGCUUGAGAAAGUUUGUCUUAGGUCUGAAUGUUAUUGUUUUGUGAAGAAGGAAAAGCAGCAAGAUGCUGAAUGAAGCUGACUCCCAAAGUCUGACCUAGUUUUUGGAGAAUUUCUUCAACAUAUUUCCUUGAUCCACAUUCUUCAAUUAUGACAGUGAGGACAGGGAAGGAAGACAUUAGAACCGUAACCAAGGAUGCCCGCUCUGUGGUAGUGAUCCAAAGCUCGAAACGCAACACAAAUGAGUUGGAGUGGGAUCUUAGAGCGAGAGAAGCAAGUACUAUGGAUUACCUCCUUUCAGCAUAUGAGUUCCAAGUUUGAUUCAUGGGUCUAGGUAGCAGCUAGGGAUAGCUAGGAAUGCUUUUGAUUCUUGUGUAGGUAGCAGCUAGGAAUACUUUCUUGUUUGGUAAAUUAUUUAGUAACUUGAAUGUUUGAAAAAUGCUACUUGAAUGAUAUGGAUUAGACUGUGGUUUUAUUUGGUAA